CGAAAGGAGCAGGACUGCGAGCGCACGCAGCAAGCCAGCAUGCUGGCCGACGUGGCCCAGGCUUUUGAGAGUGAUGAGAGCGUGUCUGACGACGAGGGCGACAGGGUCACCCUCUUCAGCUCAGCCACUCAGCUGUCGCCCAGCAGGCAGGCCAAUGCCAAGACUCUGACCGUGAUGAUGCAGGAGCAGCUGGACAUCAUCAAUGAAGAGAUCCGGUUGAUCGAAGAAGAGAAGGAGAACACGGAGCAGCGGGCCGAGGAGACUGAGAGCAGGGAGGGCAGGGGGAGCUUAGGCAGCCUCCGUCGUUUUAAAUCAGUGAGCUCCCUCAACCUGCUUUCCACCUCCUCGCAUGCUGACUCCUGCCCGCCCCUGCCCAAGCCCAGAAGGAGGCAGCACAGCCUGGUGCAGGAGGGAGACCAGCUGGGCAUCAUGACUCUGGGUGAUACAAGAUCAUCUCUUAGUGAAGACCUGGGGGCGCCUUAUGGAAUCCACUGUGAGCGAAUGACACUCGAACUGCGUCUCCACAGGCUCUCAGGACAGCCCCGGGAAUAACCCCAGCAGCAGCACCAGCAGCCAGGGCUCGCUGCACAAAGCCCCAAAGAAGAAGGGCAUCAAGUCCUCCAUCAGCCGCUUGUUUCGCAAGAAGGAAAAGGGCCGGCCUGAACACCCCAGCAAGGAGGCGUUAGGACCAGGUGGGUGCUUCACCGUUCAGAGGGAG
rnacentral:lncRNA from 1 species